rnacentral:rRNA from 1 species
CCCAGACUCCUACGGGAGGCAGCAGUGGGGAAUAUUGCACAAUGGGGGGAACCCUGAUGCAGCGACGCCGCGUGGGUGAAGGAGCACCUCGGUGCGUAAAGCCCUAUCGGCAGGGGAGAAACAGACGGUACCUGACUAAGAAGCCCCGGCUAACUACGUGCCAGCAGCCGCGGUAAUACGUAGGGGGCAAGCGUUAUCCGGAUUCACUGGGUGUAAAGGGAGCGUAGACGGCGACGCAAGUCUGGAGUGAAAGCCCGGGGCCCAACCCCGGGACUGCUCUGGAAACUGCGGCGCUGGAGUGCGGGAGGGGCAGGCGGAAUUCCUGGUGUAGCGGUGAAAUGCGUAGAUAUCAGGAGGAACACCGGCGGCGAAGGCGGCCUGCUGGACCGUGACUGACGUUGAGGCUCGAGAGCGUGGGGAGCAAACAGGAGUAGAUACCCUCGUAA